rnacentral:rRNA from 1 species
GAUGAACGCUGGCGGCGUGCCUAAUACAUGCAAGUCGAGCGAACGGACGAGAAGCUUGCUUCUCUGAUGUUAGCGGCGGACGGGUGAGUAACACGUGGAUAACCUACCUAUAAGACUGGGAUAACUUCGGGAAAUCGGAGCUAAUACCGGAUAAUAUUUUGAACCGCAUGGUUCAAAAGUGAAAGACGGUCUUGCUGUCACUUAUAGAUGGAUCCGCGCUGCAUUAGCUAGUUGGUAAGGUAACGGCUUACCAAGGCAACGAUGCAUAGCCGACCUGAGAGGGUGAUCGGCCACACUGGAACUGAGACACGGUCCAGACUCCUACGGGAGGCAGCAGUAGGGAAUCUUCCGCAAUGGGCGAAAGCCUGACGGAGCAACGCCGCGUGAGUGAUGAAGGUCUUCGGAUCGUAAAACUCUGUUAUUAGGGAAGAACAUAUGUGUAAGUAACUGUGCACAUCUUGACGGUACCUAAUCAGAAAGCCACGGCUAACUACGUGCCAGCAGCCGCGGUAAUACGUAGGUGGCAAGCGUUAUCCGGAAUUAUUGGGCGUAAAGCGCGCGUAGGCGGUUUUUUAAGUCUGAUGUGAAAGCCCACGGCUCAACCGUGGAGGGUCAUUGGAAACUGGAAAACUUGAGUGCAGAAGAGGAAAGUGGAAUUCCAUGUGUAGCGGUGAAAUGCGCAGAGAUAUGGAGGAACACCAGUGGCGAAGGCGACUUUCUGGUCUGUAACUGACGCUGGUGUGCGAAAGCGUGGGGAUCAAACAGGAUUAGAUACCCUGGUAGUCCACGCCGUAAACGAUGAGUGCUAAGUGUUAGGGGGUUUCCGCCCCUUAGUGCUGCAGCUAACGCAUUAAGCACUCCGCCUGGGGAGUACGACCGCAAGGUUGAAACUCAAAGGAAUUGACGGGGACCCGCACAAGCGGUGGAGCAUGUGGUUUAAUUCGAAGCAACGCGAAGAACCUUACCAAAUCUUGACAUCCUUUGACAACUCUAGAGAUAGAGCCUUCCCCUUCGGGGGACAAAGUGACAGGUGGUGCAUGGUUGUCGUCAGCUCGUGUCGUGAGAUGUUGGGUUAAGUCCCGCAACGAGCGCAGCCCUUAAGCUUAGUUGCCAUCAUUAAGUUGGGCACUCUAAGUUGACUGCCGGUGACAAACCGGAGGAAGGUGGGGAUGACGUCAAAUCAUCAUGCCCCUUAUGAUUUGGGCUACACACGUGCUACAAUGGACAAUACAAAGGGCAGCGAAACCGCGAGGUCAAGCAAAUCCCAUAAAGUUGUUCUCAGUUCGGAUUGUAGUCUGCAACUCGACUACAUGAAGCUGGAAUCGCUAGUAAUCGUAGAUCAGCAUGCUACGGUGAAUACGUUCCCGGGUCU